GCCGAUUGGCAGGUUACCUAUGUUUUUGCGAAAAACGGCAAACCAAUUGGACCACAGGCAAAUUCUAAUUGGCUUUACAUCGUGCCAUGGGGGAUGUACGGAUGUGUGAACUACAUCAAGCAGAAGUACGGGAAUCCGACAGUCGUCAUAACUGAAAACGGAAUGGAUCAACCUGCGAACCUCAGCCGCGACCAGUACUUGCGCG
rnacentral:misc_RNA from 1 species